UUUAGCAAUCCAGUAGAGCUACAGAAUUUGGGAGAUAUAUGUUCCAAGACCUACCAUGGAUGACUAAAAUUGGGCAUAUAAGUAAAUAUGCUAAUCCCUUAUAAAUGUGCUCUCUCUUUUGACUCCUGACCUUCCACUUGACUCUCACAACCUUCUACCACCUCCUUCUCAUCAAAAAAAAAAAAUUAGAAAGUGAAAAAAGUGAACACAGAAGCAAAAAUGAUGCUGUGAGAGACUGUCUUCACUGGUAUCCCGCUGUCACAGGUGAUCCCUAGAUAGCUCAGUGGAUUGAGAGCCAGACAUAAGACAGGAGAUGCUAGAUUGUUCAAAACUGGCCUCAGAUACUUCCUAGCUGUGUGACCCUGGGCAAGUCACUUAAUCUUACCUCUCUUCUACCUUGGGACCAAUACCUACUAUUGAUUCUAAAAUGGAAGAUUAGGAAACUGAGACAACUCAAGGAUAUUAAAUGCACGGACCACUAAAGUGAUGCACUUUGCCUAAGAUCUUAGAAUUCCCCAGUUGGUAACCCAGUGAUUUCUGUUACACAGUGGAAAUAACCCUCAGUUUGGAAGUCAAAUCCUAGCCUGGAUGUUUUCAACCUGGAUGUACUCAGGUAAGCCACCCAAGUGAGCUCUGUCUAAGUGUAAGUCUAAUCAUCUAUACACCUGAAAGUUUAGUAGAUAAUCCCUAGCUUCCCUUGAAAUGAAAACCGGUCUACUCAGAUCUUUUUCAA
rnacentral:lncRNA from 1 species